CUACACAAACCUUAUCAAACACGGUGGUAUUGCUGUUGCAUUAUCUGGCUUGUGAGGUUUGACCCAUGGCAGGAACUGAAAGUGUAUAGACAACGUCCGCAUGAGGUUGGGGAGGAAUACAUUAACAUUAUACUGAGGCGGCAAGGUCAGUCUGUGUACAAGAGUUUGCCGAAUAAGCCUGAUGGCCAGAACUCACAGAGAGCAGACCCCGAAAAUCGUCUUUGGGGUUCUACCACACACACAUCUCUCUCUCUCUCCCUCACUCCCUCUCUAUUUCUUUGUGUGUAAGAGAAAGACAGUCAGACAGAAAACAAAAUAAAGAUUUCAUUGUUAAAAUUCUAUCAGGCAGCCAUCUCCCAGGGUGUGUGAUGGGUGGCCUGUGUUCUUGUUUUAAGAGUGGCUCUGCUGGGUACUUAUAAUAUGUACUUUGUAAACAGAUCCUCGGGUGUCUCCGUCACUAUGUACUUCAGGAAGGCUGGACCAGGCUGUAGCUAAGCUCCCCUAUUGCAGGACUGAUGUGGGAGGGCCCAGACCACUGUGAUCAUGGGGUAUAUAGGAAACCACCUGAACAAGCAAUGUGGAACGAGCCAGUCAGCAAUGUCUCUCCACAACGUCUGCACCAGUUCCUGCCUUCAGCUUCCUGCCUUGAAUUCCUGCCCUGACUGACUUCCCUCAGUGAUCAACUGGGAUUAGACCAUGGCCGCUAAAUAAACCCUUUCUCCUAAGCA